rnacentral:rRNA from 1 species
UGGGGAAUCUUGCACAAUGGGGGAAACCCUGAUGCAGCGACGCCGCGUGAGCGAUGAAGGUUUUCGAAUCGUAAAGCUCUGUCCUAUGGGAAGAUAAUGACGGUACCAUAGGAGGAAGCCCCGGCUAACUACGUGCCAGCAGCCGCGGGAAUACGUAGGGGGCGAGCGUUGUCCGGAAUUACUGGGCGUAAAGGGUUCGCAGGCGGCAUGACAAGUCCGAUGUAAAAGGCGAAAGCUCAACUUUCGUAAGCAUCGGAAACGGUCAAGCUUGAGUGAAGGAGAGGCAAGUGGAAUUCCUAGGGUAGCGGUGCAAUGCGUAGAUAUUAGGAGGAAUACCGGUGGCGAAGGCGACUUGCUGGACUUCAACUGACGCUGAGGAACGAAAGCGUGGGUAGCAAACAGG